GAAAUCAGUGGUAUCGCACAUCACUACCGAUCUCGUCUGCUCUUGGAAGCUAAGCAGGGUUGGGCUUUGUUAGUGCUUGGAUGGGAGACUGGCUGGGAAUACCAGACGCUGUAAGCU
rnacentral:rRNA from 1 species